UUGGAGGGCAAGUCUGGUGCCAGCAGCCGCGGUAAUUCCAGCUCCGAUAGCGUAUAUUAAAGUUGUUGCAGUUAAAAAGCUCGUAGUUGAAUUUCGAGAUCAAUUUGUCGGUCGUGCCUCGGUACGUACUGGCAUUAUUGAUUUCUCCCUUCUGAAGAACCGCGAUGUCAUUAAUUUGGUGUCGUGGGGAAUCAGGACUGUUACUUUGAAAAAAUUAGAGUGUUUAAAGCAGGCGCACGCUUGAAUACAUUAGCAUGGAAUAAUGAAAUAGGACGUCUGAUUCUAUUUUGUUGGUUUCUAGGAUCGACGUAAUGAUUAAUAGGGAUAGUUGGGGGCAUUAGUAUUCAAUUGUCAGAGGUGAAAUUCUUGGAUUUAUUGAAGACUAACUACUGCGAAAGCAUUUGCCAAGGAUGUUUUCAUUAAUCAAGAACGAAAGUUUGGGGAUCGAAGACGAUCAGAUACCGUCGUAGUCUUAACCAUAAACCAUGCCGACUAGGGAUCGGAUGAUGUUAAUUUUUUAAUGACUCAUUCGGCGCCUUACGGGAAACCAAAGUGUUUGGGUUC
rnacentral:rRNA from 1 species